rnacentral:tRNA from 1 species
GGGUGUAUAGCUUAGUGGUAAAGCAGUGGACUUUUAAUCCGUUGACCAAGGUUCGAUACCUUGUACGCUCA